rnacentral:rRNA from 1 species
UACGGAGGGAGCUAGCGUUGUUCGGAAUCACUGGGCGUAAAGCGUCUGUAGGUGGUUUAAAAAGUCCACUGUUAAAAAUUGAAGCUUAACUUCAAAGAUGCCGUGGAAACUUUUAAACUUGAGUAUGAUAGGGGUAGAGGGAAUUUCCAGUGGAGCGGUGAAAUGCGUAGAUAUUGGAAAGACCACCAAUGGCGAAGGCACUCUACUGGGCCAUUACUGACACUGAGAGACGAAAGCUAGGGUAGCGAAUGGG